rnacentral:lncRNA from 1 species
UAAAAUCCAGAGGGUCAAAAGAAAAUCGAAAGAAACUGCGGGAGUUGAGCUAAAUAAAACUUCAUUCACUUUCGAACAACAAUCUUGCAACUAUUUCUCUUCUCUUUUCUCUUUUUAUUCUUUUUUCCCAUAAGAAAUAUGUAUUGUCAUCCUUCUUUUCUUUUUCUAUUUUUUUAUUUUUCUAUUAUUUUUUUCUUUUCUAUUUUCUAUCAACUUUUGAAUGAAAUAUCAUAACUACAUAUUCAGUCUCACACAACUCCAAACAAGACUCUUUCAAUUCUUUG